CAGGUAAGCAAGAGCCAUCCUCAUCAACUAGUAGACAACCAGAAGAAGGAGAAACAGCAGGAGAAACACCUUCCACAUCAAAUGCUGACGCUACCACACAGGGCAAUAGAGGAUUCUUCAGAUCCUUCCUAGGAUUCUUGGGAAGAUGAUUGGCGUUAGGCAUUGGUAGGUAAUGUCUUCUGGACCACAUUCCCAUGGAAAGCACGAGAAGAUUCUACUGUUCACCACUGCACUGACAUCUAUGUACACCAAGAUAGAGACUCUCUCACAUGA